UAAAUGUAGAACCACGUUCAGUGCCA
rnacentral:piRNA from 1 species